rnacentral:rRNA from 1 species
UACAGAGGGUGCGAGCGUUAAUCGGAAUUACUGGGCGUAAAGCGUGCGUAGACGGUUAUUUAAGUCGGGUGUGAAAGCCCCGGGCUCAACCUGGGAAUUGCAUUCGAGACUGAAUAGCUAGGGUACGGUAGAGGGAAGUGGAAUUUCCGGUGUAGCGGUGAAAUGCGUAGAUAUCGGAAGGAACAUCAGUGGCGAAAGCGACUUCCUGGCCUGUUCUUGACGCUGAGGCGCGAAAGCUAGGGGAGCAAACGGG